rnacentral:rRNA from 1 species
AUUGAACGCUGGCGGAAUGCUUUACACAUGCAAGUCGAACGGCAGCACGGGGCAACCUGGUGGCGAGUGGCGAACGGGUGAGUAAUACAUCGGAACGUGCCCAAUCGUGGGGGAUAACGUAGCGAAGUUACGCUAAUACCGCAUACGAUCUACGGAUGAAAGCGGGGGAUCGCAAGACCUCGCGCGAAUGGAGCGGCCGAUGUCAGAUUAGGUAGUUGGUGGGGUAAAGGCUCACCAAGCCGACGAUCUGUAGCUGGUCUGAGAGGACGACCAGCCACACUGGGACUGAGACACGGCCCAGACUCCUACGGGAGGCAGCAGUGGGGAAUUUUGGACAAUGGGCGCAAGCCUGAUCCAGCCAUUCCGCGUGCAGGAUGAAGGCCUUCGGUUGUAACU